AUCGCUUCUCGGCCUUUUGGCUAAGAUCAAGUGUAGUAACAAAAAGAAGCCUGGCAUGGCUAUAAUUCUACAAGACAAAAUAUACUUAAUGUCAAAAACUAUCU
rnacentral:snRNA from 1 species